rnacentral:lncRNA from 1 species
AUGCUAGACCAGGCUGCCCAGGGCCCCAUCCAACCUGGCCUUGAACACCUCCAGGGAUUGGGGCAUCCACAACCUCUCUGGAUCGUCUUUUAUGAAUACUGCACCGCUGUUUUAAGAAAAGACAAAUACAAGGAGGGAAAAAACAGAACCUCUGCGAUUCUUCUUUUUCCCUACGAAGUGUUAUGGGUGAAGGCUGUGGAGAAUCGUGGGUUUCCCCAGUUCAGACUUGAACCUCCCACCAAUUAUGUGACCUUCAGGCUAUGGGUAUUGAUGUAGGUACACAGCCACAAUCUCAGAUUACGUUGUACCUGCACCUUCACUUCUGCCAGUACUACUUGCUGCACUCAUCCAGCUUCAAAGAGACUCUACUGGGGGAAAGAUUGCACCCAAGGACCUCCAUCCAAUGCCAGGUGGGAGGAAUGUUGUUGAGAGAGUUGUAGGUUAACAUCAGCAUCUGUUGUAGGCCUUCAAUUCCUUUUUAGAUUCCUUUGUAUUUG